AUUUCAGAGCAGAGACAAAUGAGUUUCUUCCUACACGUAGCUUUGAAGAACAAAUGCAGUUUCCCAUUGUAAAUCUACCAAAAGUGCCCUGCCUGCUCCAUCCCUGUGCUGGUUCCUGUUACUGGGGCAGGAAACAACUCUUUUGUGAGGAGAACAUCAGUGGUGCUGGGAAUUCUCUUCUGAAGAUGGAGCAAAACCAGAGCUGCCUUGGUGACCCAGCAACAUUUUAAGCAAGACAAUGGAAAGAGCCUAUCCUAGACCCCCUACUAACUGCAGCCUGGUUCUUGAAGUUUUCUCUGUCCUUUGCUACCCUUUGAGCACAGCCCAGACCUUUGAGAAUUUUCUUUUUACCAAGGUGAAGAAUCAUUCCAAUGGGUGUUUCAGAGAUUCUGUCAGAUGCUUUUCUGCUUUCACACAGGCUCAAUCCUGACAUGACUGUAGACUUCAGUAAAG